UACAGAGGUCUCAAGCGUUUGUUCGGAUUCAUUGGGCGUAAAGGGUGCGUAGGUGGCGCCAUAAGUCAGGUGUGAAAUCUCGGGGCUUAACUCCGAAACUGCAUUCGAUACUGCCGUGCUUGAGGACUGGAGAGGAGACUGGAAUUUACGGUGUAGCGGUGAAAUGCGUAGAUAUCGUAAGGAAGACCAGUGGCGAAGGCGGGUCUCUGGACAGUUCCUGACGCUGAGGCACGAAGGUCAGGGGAGCAAACGGG
rnacentral:rRNA from 1 species